AUUGAACGCUGGCGGCAUGCCUUACACAUGCAAGUCGAACGGCAGCGGGGACUUCGGUCCGCCGGCGAGUGGCGAACGGGUGAGUAAUGUAUCGGAACGCAUCAUUGAGUGGGGGAUAACUAUCCGAAAGGAUAGCUAAUACCGCAUAUUCUCUCCGGAGGAAAGCAGGGGACCGCAAGGCCUUGCGCUCAUUGAGCGGCCGAUAUCAGAUUAGCUAGUUGGUGAGGUAAAGGCUCACCAAGGCGACGAUCUGUAGCGGGUAUGAGAGGAUGAUCCGCCACACUGGAACUGAGACACGGUCCAGACUCCUACGGGAGGCAGCAGUGGGGAAUUUUGGACAAUGGGGGCAACCCUGAUCCAGCCAUGCCGCGUGAGUGAAGAAGGCCUUCGGGUUGUAAACUGCUUUUGUACGGAACGAAACGGUCCUGGUUAAUACCUGGGGCUAGUGACGGUACCGUAAGAAUAAGCACCGGCUAACUACGUGCCAGCCGCCGCGGUAACAC
rnacentral:rRNA from 1 species